AUUGAACGCUGGCGGCAGGCCUAACACAUGCAAGUCGAACGAGUGGCGGACGUGUGAGUAAUGUCUGGGAAACUGCCUGAUGGAGGGGGAUAACUACUGGAAAAGGUAUCUCAUACCGCAUACCAUCAGAUGUGCCCAGAUGGGAGUAGCUUGGUGGUGGGGUAACGGCUAACCAAGGCGACGAUCCCUAGAUGGACUGAGCGGAUUACCAGCCCCACUGGAACUGAGACACGGUACAGAAUCCUACGUGAGGCAGCAGUGGGGAAUAUUGCACAAAGGGCGCAAGCCUGAUGCAGCCAUGCCGCGUGUAUGAAGAAGGCCUUCGGGUUGUAAAGUACUUUCAGCGUGGAGGCGUUACCCGCAGAAGAAGCACCGGCUAACUCCGUGCCAGCAGCCGCGGUAAUUC
rnacentral:rRNA from 1 species